UCUGUUAAGAGUUAUGAAUGGCAAUAAAAGUAUAAUUUUAUUGCUAUAUGGGGUGUUAUCGGAUCAAAUGGGUAGGCUCAAGACGAGCGGCUAAAAUAUACGGAAACAACACAUGAGCAAUGAAACAUAAAAUAUACGGAAACAACACAUGCACCAGUGGCGAAUCGGGGGGGGGGGGGGGGGGUUCCGGGGGGUUGGAACCCCCCUUUCUUUUUGCCGAUCAAUGCAUUUGAAUGGGAGCAUAUAGUUGGAACCCCUCCCCUUUUACUCUGGGUUGGGAACCCCCCUUUAUAAAAUGGCUGGAUCCGCCACUGUGAACAAUGAACAAUUUAAACAAUGGAAAUAGAAAAUUGAUAAAAACGGUUUCAAAAAGUGUAAUAUUAAAGUAAUGUUAAUUUCAUCCAAGAAUGGUCGCAUAUGUCAUGUGGAUUCUGUUUAAUUGUCAUGCAUGACACCAACUUGUCAUCUACAUUGGUAACCAGUAUAUAAGUCAGAGAUAAACGUCGUAAUGUAACUAAACAUCAGUAAGUAAAAUAUAUUGGGAUGCUAAAAUAUAAAGAAUAGAGAAAGAAUAAUGAGUAAGAUAAAUAAAAGGUAAAAGGAAAAAACGUCACGGAAGAAACGUGACAUAACAAUUUAAAGAAUACAGAAAUAAACAACACCCCCAAUCCGAACCCUCAUGGUAUACACGAUAAUCUGGAUGGAGUAGCAAAAUAUAGAAUAAUAGAUAAGGACAGUAGAGAGUGAUACAUUGCUAAAAAAGAGAGAAAAAAAUAAUAAUUGUUUAAGAAUACAC
rnacentral:lncRNA from 1 species